UAGAAUGCCUGCUCACCCGGGCCUUGAGCCCCACAGGAUUGGUUCAGCCAGUGAAACAGAGGGACGUGGCCCCUUGAAACCACACACACUCAGGAAGGGGCAGAGCUAGGAGGCCAAGAGCGUCAUGAGGAAGAAGGCGAUGCCCACGGCCAGAGGCAGGUGUUCCCGCUUGGGGCUGGUCCCACUGAUGCUCUUCUCAAGCUUGGGCACCUGGGGAUUCUCUCCCUCAAAGUCUUCUGUGGAAAGAUAAAUAGGCAAACUGGAAGCCAAGGGAGCCCCAAAGCAGGGAGGCAAGGAUGCGGACGUGGUUGGAAACCGACGCUACUCACUGGAGGCGCAGCAGACGAACACCUUCAUCCUCAGACACUUCCAGUGCAGGUUGUGAGUGGGCGUGGCUGGGGAGGAGAUUUCUUUCACUCACUUGGUGCCCUUGCGGCUUUAACAUAGACUCCCAUCCCCCUCCAAAUUGCCCGCAUCCGGCUGUGUCCCCAAGUCUCUGCUCCAAUCUUUCUUUGGACAUUGGUCACCAUGACUUCGUGGCUAGCCCAUCCCAACAGAAAUGCUCUGCGACCCAAAUUUGGGACUGUCACCCCAUCCCCACAGCCUUGCAACUUCUCAGAGCUGAAACCCUGAAGCCUAUCCCUGGUGACCACUACAACGGCUGGCCGGGGAUCCCUGGGACCCCACCCUGUCAUUCAGAAGACCCAGGACCCGGCACUCACAGAUGUAGUAGUAUUCUUGGCCGGCAUGGAAUUCAUAGCCCAGCGAGAAGGCGCUGUAACGCUGGAACUUCUCGGAGAACUUGAUGGGGCUGUGCGAGGCGUGCUGCCGGUUGCAUUCCCAGCGCUUGGAGCCUUGGCUGGCGUUGCAGAUGAGUCUCUGCGACAGAGAAGCAGAUCUGGAUGCCCUGGAAGUCUCGCCUGCCUGACAGUCCCAUCUAAGUGUUGCUGUGGACAUCCUUUGUGGUGGCACUGAACGGUGUAGGGAGUCAGAGGCAGCUCAAUCCACACGUGUGGAAGAUCGGGUAGAAGUCGUCUUUAACUUCUUUAAGGCAAGUAUGCACACAUGUUGGUAGUGCUAUGGGACUGUUGUGGGCACAGGGAAGCAUGGGCCACAGGGUAAAAUGUCAAUCCAUCGGGGUCCCUAGACCCUGAGAACUCACUGAGGGAAAGAACUGGCUCCCCAUGUCACCAAGCAGAACCUUGUUUCACAAACAAUAAUUAGACACAUUAGGGAAAUGAUCUUGGAGGCCUCUUCUUGGGAUGAGGCCUUGAGGGUCCUCCCUGUCAUUACCCAACAUCGUUGGCUGUACUUGUGUUGCCCGGUCCCCAAGACUAGGAACGAGGCAGAUGGGUAACAGCUGGUGUUUGGACUCUCUAGUAAGAACGGGCACAGCCUUCUUGAGUCAUCAGGAAUGCCACCAGUCCCACUUGGUUCCCAUGGGAGUGAUGGGUCACUCAGGCCCCUCCCUGUCCCUGGCACUCAGGUGGGCAGGAGUCUCGACGGGGCGCUGGGAGCAGGAAAACGGGUUAGACAAGGCCUGAUUGCUCCCAGGCACCACCCAUGCAUUGUGUGUCCACCCUAAACCCUAGGCUCCUGUUCCUUCCCUAAGGACCUGGGGAGGGGGCGGCCAGCUAGCCAGCACAUGGUGGCAGGCCUGGGGCAGCCCCAUAGCUCCCCUGGGGCCUUGUUCCCUUGGCCUCACCCGUGUAUCCGGUUUGAUUUGGAAGCAGCUCCUCCCUGCAGCUGCCCCAUCCCUUCCAACCACACACCCAUUACAGUGGAUUUUAAGCCAACUCCAAAGAUGUUCCUACAGGUGGUGCCUCAGUUUCCUCAAGACGGUGAGCUGGGUAUAUUUAGUGGUUGCUGUGUGACAGCGACAAGAGAAGAAGCCUCCUCUUACCUAUCUCUGUGAUUGACGGCAGAAAAGCCCCAGAAAUGCACCCCCCCCAAAAAAAAAAAAAAAACCUGGCCACUUGGUUCAAAACCUGCUGGCAAGGUAGCUGUAUCCAGUUGGUAUCUGGUGGAGAGAGCAGAAGGCCGGGUGCCAGGAAUCCCAAACCAUAACUCCUAGGAGACCCGACCUGUCUGUUAGGCACAACCUCUUUAAUUGAAUCUGUCAUCCUACUUAGCCUAGCAGCGAGGGAGGUGCACAUAGGCCCCAGCUGCUAACCACGCCUCGAGGGUUACCCCCCUCCUGCUCUCAGCGUGGGGUGGGCUAGCAUCUGGGGACUGUGUGCCCUGCUCCUUCAGGGAGUUUCCAUUCAGCCCUCCAUGUCAUCUCCUUGUUGCCUCCUACUUCUCCGCAGAAAGGCGUCCUCCCCGUUCUUCUAUAGGUCUUACUGUGUCCCACCGGCUUGCAACGCCCUGGGGGCAUCCCGACUCUUCUCACAUCAACAGCGCCCCUGCUUCCUAGGCCCGCAGAACUCAGCCUUCAGCUUUCAGUGUCCGCGGGGGACAGUACGGGAGGUGGGGGAGCGGAGAAGGAGCAAACGUCUCCCCCUGGGACAAUUAGGGGCAGGUAAACAGGGUGUCUAACAAGACCCUGGAGAACGGAAAGGCUCCCAAGAGACUCUGAACUUGUUAAACCCCUAUCCUCGGCUUUAGAAGUCAAGAUGUAGAGUUAAGAGAGUGGAGAAAAAUGCAGAGACUAGGUUCUUCCCCUCUACUGCGCGUCCCCGAGGCUGCGCGCCGCCCGCUCCAGCAGGCGAGGCCCGACCACGUGUGCGCGGCGUGGAGUCCGCGCGCCAAGGCUGGGGGGUGGGGGUGGG
rnacentral:lncRNA from 1 species